rnacentral:rRNA from 1 species
AGAGUUUGAUCCUGGCUCAGAUUGAACGCUGGCGGCAUGCCUUACACAUGCAAGUCGAACGGUAACAGGUCUUUCGGACGCUGACGAGUGGCGAACGGGUGAGUAAUACAUCGGAACGUGCCCAGUCGUGGGGGAUAACUACUCGAAAGAGUAGCUAAUACCGCAUACGAUCUGAGGAUGAAAGCGGGGGACCUUCGGGCCUCGCGCGAUUGGAGCGGCCGAUGGCAGAUUAGGUAGUUGGUGGGAUAAAAGCUUACCAAGCCGACGAUCUGUAGCUGUGUCUGAGAGGACGACCAGCCACGCUGGGACUGAGACACGGCCCAGACUCCUACGGGAGGCAGCAGUGGGGAAUUUUGGACAAUGGGCGAAAGCCUGAUCCAGCAAUGCCGCGUGCAGGAUGAAGGCCUUCGGGUUGUAAACUGCUUUUGUACGGAACGAAAAAGCUCCUUCUAAUACAGGGGGCGC